AAAGAGACAGGUGAAUCAUCGAAUCUUUGAACGCACAUUGCGCCCGCCAGUAUUCUGGCGGGCAUGCCUGUUCGAGCGUCAUUUCAACCAUCAAGCCCCCGGGCCUGUGUUGGGGACCUGCGGCUGCCCGCAGGCCCUGAAAACCAGUGGCGGGCUCGCUGUCACACCGAGCGUAGUAGCAUACAUCUCGCUCAGGGCGUGCUGCGGGUUCCGGCCGUUAAAGCGACCUUUCGUAACCCAAGGUUGACCUCGGAUCAGGUAGGAAGACCCGCUGAACUUAAGCAUAUCAAUAAGCGGAGG
rnacentral:misc_RNA from 1 species